UGAGUUCCGUUUCUGGCUUUCUUUGCUGCGUGUUUGUAGCUGGGUUUGUUUGAUUUUAGUGUUAAUGGCUGUAGUUUCGAGUUUCGUUUCCUAGUUGUUGGCUACUGGUUUUGUCGAGUCCUGUACUAGGUUCAGUAGCUGAGUUUUAAUUCGUUAGUUUAGUUCGAGUCGCGAGUUCAUGCUUUCUGUUUUUUCUGUUUUUGAAUCGCUGCGUUUCUGUAGUUUUGGUCGAGUUCCGAGUUUUAAAUUUGCGUUGUUGCUGUGCUGAGUUCCCAGUUUAGUGUAGGCUUUGUUUUGUUUGAUUUGGAAUUUUGAGUCUUCUCUGCUUGGGUUCUGAUUAGCUGAGUUGUAGUUGUGUUUGUUCGAUUAUUCCGAGUCUCUGUUGCUUGUUUUCUUCCGAGUUGCUUUUGUUUUAUUAAAUCUGUUUGCGAUGAGUCUGAUUUGCAGCACUAAGUCGAGUAGGCGCGUUGGUAGUUUGUGGUUUUCUGAGUUAGUUUUGGAUUAAGUGAGGCUGCCUUGUUGAUUUGUUUUUCUUUAUUUUACAUAUUUGUCUCCGCUAAGUCUAAAAGUUGAGUCAUUUAGCGUGUGUGUUCUUUCGAGUGUUGGCGAUUUCCCUUGCACAUCCAGCCAAUGCUACUGUAUUUUAGUUAUGUUGAUAGUUAAAAUUGUUGAAUUGAUUUUGUUUGGCUUGUUGACUAAAUAAAUGAUUCUUGGCAAAUUUUUCUUUGAUUUAGUUUAAGACUUUUUCUGGACAUUCGGUUUAAUUUAGUAAGAUUAGAUAAGUGAUAAUUAAUUAGUUUAAGCAAUUUUCUUUUUAGAGACAUAUUUAAAUUUAGGUUUAAGAAAAACUUCUCUCUAUAAAAUAUUGUUCUAAUUCGCCUAGGUUAAAGAUUUAAGGAUUGCGAAAAAUAAUUUUAAUCUCUGUGGACGAAUCUUAAAUAUUAAAACGGUGAUCGUGCGCUUGCGAUUUAAAAGUAAUAUUUCUAGCACAUCAAGUUUUUGGCGCCGCUGCCGGGGAUUAAAAUUAAUUUUUCGC
rnacentral:lncRNA from 1 species